rnacentral:rRNA from 1 species
AUUGAACGCUGGCGGCAUGCCUUACACAUGCAAGUCGAACGGUAACAGGUCUUCGGAUGCUGACGAGUGGCGAACGGGUGAGUAAUACAUCGGAGCGUGCCCGAUCGUGGGGGAUAACGGAGCGAAAGCUUUGCUAAUACCGCAUACGAUCUACGGAUGAAAGCAGGGGACCGCAAGGCCUUGCGCGGACGGAGCGGCCGAUGGCAGAUUAGGUAGUUGGUGGGAUAAAAGCUUACCAAGCCGACGAUCUGUAGCUGGUCUGAGAGGACGACCAGCCACACUGGGACUGAGACACGGCCCAGACUCCUACGGGAGGCAGCAGUGGGGAAUUUUGGACAAUGGGCGAAAGCCUGAUCCAGCCAUGCCGCGUGCAGGAUGAAGGCCUUCGGGUUGUGAACUGCUUUUGUACGGAACGAAAAGCCUCUUUCUAAUAAAGAGAGGUCAUGACGGUACCGUAAGAAUAAGCACCGGCUAACUACGUGCCAGCCGCCGCCGUAAUAC